AGAGUUUGAUCCUGGCUCAGGAUGAACGCUGGCGGCGUGCCUAAUACAUGCAAGUCGAGCGAACGGACGAGAGGCUUGCUUCUCUGAUGUUAGCGGCGGACGGGUGAGUAACACGUGGAUAACCUACCUAUAAGACUGGGAUAACUUCGGGAAACCGGAGCUAAUACCGGAUAAUAUUUUGAACCGCAUGGUUCAAAAGUGAAAGACGGUCUUGCUGUCACUUAUAGAUGGAUCCGCGCUGCAUUAGCUAGUUGGUAAGGUAACGGCUUACCGAGGCAACGAUGCAUAGCCGACCUGAGAGGGUGAUCGGCCACACUGGAACUGAGACACGGUCCAGACUCCUACGGGAGGCAGCAG
rnacentral:rRNA from 1 species